AUUCCGGAUAACGCAUAUAUGCUGGAAUGCUUUAUGCGUAAAAUGGAUUCGUCUGCCCAAGGAUGGGUCUGCGGCCUAUCAGGUAGUAUUGGGUGUAAUGUACCUACUAGCCUACAACGGGUACGGGUUGUGAGAGCAAGAGCCCGGAGAUGGAUUCUGAGACAUGAAUCCAGGCCCUACGGGGCGCAGCAGGCGCGAAAACUUUACAAUGCGGGAAACCGUGAUAAGGGGACACCGAGUGCCAGCAUCAUAUGCUGGCUGUCCAGAUGUGUAAAAUACAUCUGUUAGCAAGGGCCGGGCAAGACCGGUGCCAGCCGCCGCGGUAACACCGGCGGCCCGAGUGGUGAUCGUGAUUAUUGGGUCUAAAGGGUCCGUAGCCGGUUUGGUCAGUCCUCCGGGAAAUCUGAUAGCUCAACUAUUAGGCUUUCGGGGGAUACUGCCAGGCUUGGAACCGGGAGAGGUAAGAGGUACUACAGGGGUAGGAGUGAAAUCUUGUAAUCCCUGUGGGACCACCUGUGGCGAAGGCGUCUUACCAGAACGGGUUCGACGGUGAGGGACGAAAGCUGGGGGCACGAACCGGAUUAGAUACCCGGGUAGUCCCAGCCGUAAACGAUGCUCGCUAGGUGUCAGGCAUGGCGCGACCGUGUCUGGUGCCGCAGGGAAGCCGUGAAGCGAGCCACCUGGGAAGUACGGCCGCAAGGCUGAAACUUAAAGGAAUUGGCGGGGGAGCACAACAACGGGUGGAGCCUGCGGUUUAAUUGGACUCAACGCCGGACAACUCACCGGGGACGACAGCAAUAUGUAGGCCAGGCUGAAGACCUUGCCUGAAUCGCUGAGAGGAGGUGCAUGGCCGUCGCCAGUUCGUACUGUGAAGCAUCCUGUUAAGUCAGGCAACGAGCGAGACCCGUGCCCACUGUUACCAGCAU
rnacentral:rRNA from 1 species